UUAAGCGACUAAGCGUACACGGUGGAUGCCCUGGCAGUCAGAGGCGAUGAAGGGCGUGCUAAUCUGCGAUAAGCGCCGGUAAGGUGAUAUGAACCGUUAUAACCGGCGAUACCCGAAUGGGGAAACCCAGUGUGAUUCGUCACACUAUCAUUAACUGAAUCCAUAGGUUAAUGAGGCGAACCGGGGGAACUGAAACAUCUAAGUACCCCGAGGAAAAGAAAUCAACCGAGAUUCCCCCAGUAGCGGCGAGCGAACGGGGAGGAGCCCAGAGCCUGAAUCAGCAUGUGUGUUAGUGGAAGCGUCUGGAAAGGCGCGCGAUACAGGGUGACAGCCCCGUACACAAAAGCGCAUGUGCUGUGAGCUCGAUGAGUAGGGCGGGACACGUGGUAUCCUGUCUGAAUAUGGGGGGACCAUCCUCCAAGGCUAAAUACUCCUGACUGACCGAUAGUGAACCAGUACCGUGAGGGAAAGGCGAAAAGAACCCCGGCGAGGGGAGUGAAAAAGAACCUGAAACCGUGUACGUACAAGCAGUGGGAGCCCCACCACUAAGCCAGUGGUGAACUCCACAUACGCAUCCUUUGCUGAGGAUACGGUUAACGGAGCGAAAGCGACGUUCAACCGCAAAAGAAGCAGAGGGGGCUUAGUGGUGGGGUGACUGCGUACCUUUUGUAUAAUGGGUCAGCGACUUAUAUUCUGUAGCAAGGUUAACCGAAUAGGGGAGCCGGAGGGAAACCGAGUCUUAAUUGGGCGUUAAGUUGCAGGGUAUAGACCCGAAACCCGGUGAUCUAGCCAUGGGCAGGUUGAAGGUUGGGUAACACUAACUGGAGGACCGAACCGACUAAUGUUGAAAAAUUAGCGGAUGACCUGUGGCUGGGGGUGAAAGGCCAAUCAAACCGGGAGAUAGCUGGUUCUCCCCGAAAGCUAUUUAGGUAGCGCCUCGUGAAUUCAUCUCCGGGGGUAGAGCACUGUUUCGGCUAGGGGGCCAUCCCGGCUUACCAACCCGAUGCAAACUGCGAAUACCGGAGAAUGUUAUCACGGGAGACACACGGCGGGUGCUAACGUCCGUCGUGAAGAGGGAAACAACCCAGACCGCCAGCUAAGGUCCCAAAGUCAUGGUUAAGUGGGAAACGAUGUGGGAAGGCCCAGACAGCCAGGAUGUUGGCUUAGAAGCAGCCAUCAUUUAAAGAAAGCGUAAUAGCUCACUGGUCGAGUCGGCCUGCGCGGAAGAUGUAACGGGGCUAAACCAUGCACCGAAGCUGCGGCAGCGAACGUAUCACUUAAAGCGAUUCAGCGGGUUACGAUUGACGGAGCGAAGCGACGUCAAAGCGUAUACAAAGUCGAGUCGGUUUAAGGAUACGUUCGUUGGGUAGGGGAGCGUUCUGUAAGCCUGCGAAGGUGGCCUGUGAGGGUUGCUGGAGGUAUCAGAAGUGCGAAUGCUGACAUAAGUAACGAUAAAGCGGGUGAAAAGCCCGCUCGCCGGAAGACCAAGGGUUCCUGUCCAACGUUAAUCGGGGCAGGGUGAGUCGACCCCUAAGGCGAGGCCGAAAGGCGUAGUCGAUGGGAAACGGGUUAAUAUUCCCGUACUUGGUGUUACUGCGAAGGGGGGACGGAGAAGGCUAUGUUGGCCGGGCGACGGUUGUCCCGGUUUAAGCGUGUAGGUGUGUGUUCCAGGUAAAUCCGGUUCACUUUAACACUGAGGCGUGAUGACGAGGCACUACGGUGCUGAAGCAACAAAUGCCCUGCUUCCAGGAAAAGCCUCUAAGCAUCAGGUAACAUCAAAUCGUACCCCAAACCGACACAGGUGGUCAGGUAGAGAAUACCAAGGCGCUUGAGAGAACUCGGGUGAAGGAACUAGGCAAAAUGGUGCCGUAACUUCGGGAGAAGGCACGCUGACACGUAGGUGAAGUGAUUUACUCAUGGAGCUGAAGUCAGUCGAAGAUACCAGCUGGCUGCAACUGUUUAUUAAAAACACAGCACUGUGCAAACACGAAAGUGGACGUAUACGGUGUGACGCCUGCCCGGUGCCGGAAGGUUAAUUGAUGGGGUCAGCGCAAGCGAAGCUCCUGAUCGAAGCCCCGGUAAACGGCGGCCGUAACUAUAACGGUCCUAAGGUAGCGAAAUUCCUUGUCGGGUAAGUUCCGACCUGCACGAAUGGCGUAAUGAUGGCCAGGCUGUCUCCACCCGAGACUCAGUGAAAUUGAACUCGCUGUGAAGAUGCAGUGUACCCGCGGCAAGACGGAAAGACCCCGUGAACCUUUACUAUAGCUUGACACUGAACAUUGAGCCUUGAUGUGUAGGAUAGGUGGGAGGCUUUGAAGUGUGGACGCCAGUCUGCAUGGAGCCGACCUUGAAAUACCACCCUUUAAUGUUUGAUGUUCUAACGUGGACCCGUGAUCCGGGUUGCGGACAGUGUCUGGUGGGUAGUUUGACUGGGGCGGUCUCCUCCUAAAGAGUAACGGAGGAGCACGAAGGUUGGCUAAUCCUGGUCGGACAUCAGGAGGUUAGUGCAAUGGCAUAAGCCAGCUUGACUGCGAGCGUGACGGCGCGAGCAGGUGCGAAAGCAGGUCAUAGUGAUCCGGUGGUUCUGAAUGGAAGGGCCAUCGCUCAACGGAUAAAAGGUACUCCGGGGAUAACAGGCUGAUACCGCCCAAGAGUUCAUAUCGACGGCGGUGUUUGGCACCUCGAUGUCGGCUCAUCACAUCCUGGGGCUGAAGUAGGUCCCAAGGGUAUGGCUGUUCGCCAUUUAAAGUGGUACGCGAGCUGGGUUUAGAACGUCGUGAGACAGUUCGGUCCCUAUCUGCCGUGGGCGCUGGAGAACUGAGGGGGGCUGCUCCUAGUACGAGAGGACCGGAGUGGACGCAUCACUGGUGUUCGGGUUGUCAUGCCAAUGGCACUGCCCGGUAGCUAAAUGCGGAAGAGAUAAGUGCUGAAAGCAUCUAAGCACGAAACUUGCCCCGAGAUGAGUUCUCCCUGAGACUUAGAGUCUCCUGAAGGAACGUUGAAGACGACGACGUUGAUAGGCCGGGUGUGUAAGCGCAGCGAUGCGUUGAGCUAACCGGUACUAAUGAACCGUGAGGCUUAACCUU
rnacentral:rRNA from 1 species